UACGUAGGUGGCAAGCGUUGUCCGGAUUUACUGGGCGUAAAGAGCGCGCAGGCGGUCGUCCAAGUCGCGUGUGAAAGCCCCCGGCUCAACUGGGGAGGGUCACGCGAUACUGGUCGACUCGAAGGCAGGAGAGGGUAGUGGAAUUCCCGGUGUAGUGGUGAAAUGCGUAGAUAUCGGGAAGAACAUCGGUGGCGAAAGCGCUCUACUGGACCGCAACUGACACUCAGGGACGAAAGCUAGGGGAGCGAAUGGG
rnacentral:rRNA from 1 species